rnacentral:rRNA from 1 species
GGGUUGUGAGGUUAAGCGACUAAGCGUACACGGUGGAUGCCCCGGCAGUCAGAGGCGAUGAAGGACGUGCUAAUCUGCGAUAAGCGUCGGUGAGGUGAUAUGAACCGUUAUAACCGGCGAUUUCCGAAUGGGGAAACCCAGUGAUUCGACACACUAUCAUUAACUGAAUCCAUAGGUUAAUGAGGGCGAACCGGGGAACUGAAACAUCUAAGUACCCCGGAAAAGAAAUCAACCGAGAUUCCCAGUAGCGG